rnacentral:rRNA from 1 species
AGUGAACGCUGGCGGUAGGCCUAACACAUGCAAGUCGAACGGCAGCACAGUAAGAGCUUGCUCUUACGGGUGGCGAGUGGCGGACGGGUGAGGAAUACAUCGGAAUCUACUUUUUCGUGGGGGAUAACGUAGGGAAACUUACGCUAAUACCGCAUACGACCUACGGGUGAAAGCAGGGGAUCUUCGGACCUUGCGCGAUUGAAUGAGCCGAUGUCGGAUUAGCUAGUUGGCGGGGUAAAGGCCCACCAAGGCGACGAUCCGUAGCUGGUCUGAGAGGAUGAUCAGCCAAACUGGAACUGAGACACGGUCCAGACUCCUACGGGAGGCAGCAGUGGGGAAUAUUGGACAAUGGGCGCAAGCCUGAUCCAGCCAUACCGCGUGGGUGAAGAAGGCCUUCGGGUUGUAAAGCCCUUUUGUUGGGAAAGAAAAGCAGCAAGUUAAUACCCCGCUGUUCUGACGGUACCCAAAGAAUAAGCACCGGCUAACUUCGUG